AUUCCCUCUGGAAGCAUCAGUUUAUGGCCUUCCUAAUAUGGGAACAGGGCUUAUGCAAACAGGUCCUGCAAGAUAGACAAUUUAAGAGGGAGCAGUGACCAGACCAUAGACCAAUAAGGAUGUACCCCAGCUUUCCAUCACAGGCUCAGAUUUCCAGCUCCCUCCCCCCCACUUACUUUCUCAUUAUCCAAGCAAGCAUAUUUACAGAAGCUAGAAAUAGCAUAGUUAAUUAUCUGGUUUAGUUAUAUCCUGGAAGUAACAAUGGACCAUCUUGUGCUUCAUAGGGAAACCCUGAAAGGCAGUUCUUACAAAACUUAUGUGAAUAAAAUGGAAUGCCUAUGGUUCAGAUAGAGAGCAAGGGGAAAGAACGGAGUCAGUUAUUUCAAGGUCCAUUUUCCAGAUUUUACAUGUUAAUAAACAUAGAUGUGAAUAAAUGUCUAGUUUUCUUUUUCUUUUUUU